UACAGAGGCCACGAGCGUUAUGCGGAAUCACUGGGCUUAAAGCGUGUGUAGGCGGAUGGCUAAGUCACUUGUGAAAUCCCACGACUCAAUCGUGGAACUGCUUGGUAUACUGGUUGUCUUGAGUUACUCAGGGGCGAGCGGAACAGAUGGUGGAGCGGUGAAAUGCGUAGAUAUCAUCUGGAACGCCAAUGGUGAAGACAGCUCGCUGGGGGUAUUCUGACACUGAGACACGAAAGCCAGGGGAGCAAACGGG
rnacentral:rRNA from 1 species